rnacentral:rRNA from 1 species
GACGAACGCUGGCGGCGUGCUUAACACAUGCAAGUCGAACGGAAAGGCCCUGCUUUUGUGGGGUGCUCGAGUGGCGAACGGGUGAGUAACACGUGAGUAACCUGCUCUUGACUUUGGGAUAACUUCAGGAAACUGGGGCUAAUACCGGAUAGGAGCUCCCGCUGCAUGGUGGGGGUUGGAAAGUUUCGGCGGUUGGGGAUGGACUCGCGGCUUAUCAGCUUGUUGGUGGGGUAGUGGCUUACCAAGGCUUUGACGGGUAGCCGGCCUGGGAGGGUGACCGGCCACAUUGGGACUGAGAUACGGCCCAGACUCCUACGGGAGGCAGCAGUGGGGAAUAUUGCACAAUGGGCGGAAGCCUGAUGCAGCAACGCCGCGUGCGGGAUGACGGCCUUCGGGUUGUAAACCGCUUUCGCCUGUGACGAAGCGUGAGUGACGGUAAUGGGUAAAGAAGCACCGGCUAACUACGUG